rnacentral:rRNA from 1 species
AGCAGCCGCGGUAAUUCCAGCUCCAAUAGCGUAUAUUAAAGUUGUUGCAGUUAAAAAGCUCGUAGUUGAACUUCGGGAUCAAUGAAUCGGUCAUGCUUUCGUAUGUACUGGUUUUAUUGGUUCUCACCUUCUAAGGAACCAUAAUGUCAUUCAUUUGAUGUUAUGGGGAAUUAGGACUGUUACCUUGAAAAAAUUAGAGUGUUUAAAGCAGGCUAACGCUUGAAUACAUUAGCAUGGAAUAAUGAAAUAGGACAUCGCAUUCUAUUUUGUUGGUUUCUAGGAUCGAUGUAAUGAUUAAUAGGGAUAGUUGGGGGCAUUAGUAUUCAAUUGUCAGAGGUGAAAUUCUUGGAUUUAUUGAAGACUAACUACUGCGAAAGCAUUUGCCAAGGAUGUUUUCAUUAAUCAAGAACGAAAGUUAGGGGAUCGAAGACGAUCAGAUACCGUCGUAGUCUUAACCAUAAACUAUGCCGACUAGGGAUCGGAUGAUGUUGAUUUUUAAUGACUU